rnacentral:tRNA from 1 species
GCCGAAAUAGCUCAUUUUAGAGAGCGUCAGACUGAAGAUCUGAAGGUCCCUGGUUCAAUCCGGAGAGUUUGUA